rnacentral:rRNA from 1 species
UACGUAGGUGGCGAGCGUUGUCCGGAUUUACUGGGCGUAAAGAGUAUGUAGGCGGAUGUUUAAGUAGAAAGUGAAAGGUUGGAGCUCAACUCCAACACUGCUUCCUAUACUGGAUAUCUUGAGUACUGGAGAGGAAAGCGGAACGACACGUGUAGCGGUGAAAUGCGUUGAUAUGUGUCGGAACACCAAUGGCGAAGGCAGCUUACUGGACAGACACUGACGCUGAGAUGCGAAAGCGGAGGGAGCGAACAGG